GUCUGGGUAGCACAGUGAGACCAAAUCUCAAAAAAAAAAUAAAAAUAAAAAUAAAAAGGGUAUAUUUUACCAGGUUCUCAAUGGAAGGCUAGAUUUUUAUACAGGAUGGGAAAGGAAAGGGCAAUGUAGCCAGAGCAUAGAGACUGGUAGGCAGCCUUUGACAAGUUCUGAAGACGAUUAUAAUAAUCAUAUCAGCCCUAAGUUGUGAGGAUGAAGUGAAAGGUUGUCCAUAUAGAACAUAGCACCAUGCUGAGCACAGAGUAAAGGCUCAAUAGUUGGAAGCCAUUGUGCUGUCACCACUGAUGGUGGGACCUGGGGCAAGGUAGGGUGGAGCUGGGGUGCAGCCUGAGGAUGGAAAGAUAGGUUUAGAGCCAGCUUGUGAAGAGGACUGUAAAAGUCAGACUUUACUGGGCAGAUAAUAGAAGGACAUAAAUAGGGGGGUAACUUGACCAGCCCCUCUUUUGCCAAGAUUGCUCUGAUAGCGAUGAAGGAAGACUAUGAGGAAGGGGUAGCCACAAGAAGACCAGAGGAGCCAAAUAGGUGAGAGUCGCGUCUGAGACAGGAGAGAAACUGCAGAACGCAGCUCAGGAUGAGGACCCAGUGAAAAAGGAAGCGGAAAGGGAGGAGGAUAUUUAAUACCCCUGAGAAGAAAUUUAUGCAGACCCAGAUUUGAAGUCAGCCUCUGAUUAUCUACUAUUUAUAUAUUUUAAAGAAAUAUGCACAAGAUUUUAGUGCUUCCUUUUUUGUUUGUCUCCAAUAUAUGCAUGAGCCAGCACAAUUCAGGACUUGAUUUACCUUUGCUGAUUCGGCUUCUUUUCUCUGAGCUUAUUUAUGGCGGUGAGAGAGGCUUUCUGUCCUUGCUGAUAAAGGACAACCGAAUUGCAUUUGAAGCUCAGCCACUGAGUUGCUCUGCUUCCGCUGGAAAGUUGGUUUCUUCUCCAACUGCCAAGUUUUCCUGAACUGUAGGAAAUAAGGUGCAUAUUUGAAAGGUAGAGUCCUAGACUGGAACUUCUCAAAUUUUAAUGUUCCUCCAAAUCUUCCAGGAUUCUUGUUGAAAGAGCAAAUUCUGCUUCAGCAGGUCUGGGUUUGGGCUGAGAUUCUAUAUGUCUAACAAGCUCCCAGGUGUACCACACUGCAAAGCAGUGUCCUAGACUUUUGAAGACAGAAGGAACUUGAGAGGUCAUCCAAGCAAGUAGUUCAGAAUACAAAUUCUCAGACUCCACACACAGAGAAUCACGGAUGGAGCCCAAACAGGUUGAACAUCAAGACCCAGCACAUUUGAUCUAGGUUUCCUAGAACUGUGGUGGCAGUGUUGCUAUGGGAGGAUACAUGGCUGAAACCAUGCAAACUCUGGACCUGAACUUUCAUAGGAUGUUGUUGAAGAUGCUGUUCACGACAGCACUCCCUGUUCCCUAUGUAAAGACAUACCUAAGAAAUGUCUCUUGUAGAUUUAAAUGUCAGAAAGAACUUUGCUUCCUUGAGAAACUGGUGAGUGUUUGCCUUAUGUUCACUGAAUUCAUGAACCAUGCUUUUCUCUCUCAGCUUUGGCUGCCAGAAAGCUCAGAGUCACAUUCUCUGCUCAAUUUUUGUAACUGUAGAAGCCUAUAGCUCACACACCUGGCAGGGUAACUUUGCCCUGGUCUUGAUUUCCUGUUCUAAAUAUAUUCUCCCCAGUCUCAGUUUAUUAAGUUAUUUGUAGCUUUUUAUUUUAGAGUGCAAAGUCUUGUAAGUUUGCUCAAAUCCUUUGUGGAAUGGGGCAAGGAGAUAUAUUAAAGAAAUGCAUGAGGCUCUGAGAUACAUUCCAUUUAACUUGCGGAGGGUUCCUAUCUGUGGGUGGUCCUGGCAGGGGCAGUGCACAGAAGGAGCCCUGCUGACACGGGUGUCUGUGCACCCCACAAGGACCCAGCAGGAUUUCUAGAAGAGGAACCCUCUGGAACAGCUUACGGAGGUGGUUUUGUUCCUGAUCUUUUGCCAAAGCUAUCCUCAAGUGACCCAGAAGCGUGAGUGAUGCCAAUCUCCAUUCAAGAUCUGAACCCUUUUCUGGGGAGUGGCUAAAUAUGAGCCCUGUAACCUGUCCUGAAAUUCUGUGUGAAAGCUGGAUUUCUGCUGGCGUGAGGUCUUCUACUAUAAGGUCAAAAUUAGAGUGUUUUCUUAGGCAAGACUAUAAUUUCAGCUACUUUCUAAUUCUCCUUAAGUGCCCAGUAUUGCUGUGAAAACCCUAUUUGUUUUAAUUGAAGCUGGCAUUUAUUUCUUUGGCCAAGAGAAGCAGGAGCAGACAUGUGGUCCACAGGUACUGAACACGGGAGGCCAUGUAUGUGCCUCACACAGGCUGAUUUAUGAAGGAGCCUCAUUCUCUGCAUUUUAUAUAUGGAUAAAACAUAUAUAAACAUGUAUAUGGUUCAGAGAGUUUUCAGAGGUCACUUAGCUAAUGAGAGGGGGUGCUGUGGUUCAGUCCCAAUCUUCUGAUCCCAAACAGGCAGAUCCUCUACAGCCCAUUUCAGAUGGUGAUAGAGCAGAGAAACUGUAGGGCAAGAAACAGGCCACUCCAUGGGUGAGAUAAAGAGUGGUUCCAUGUGAAGCUGGGAGAGGACUAAGAGGCAGGCAGAAGAGAAAGGACGAGACCCUUGCAAGGAUUCAGCCACAUCCUUGGUGUACAUGCCCCUGCCCCGGCAUUAUCUGCAUCCAUCUCCCCCAACCCCCCACCCUACUCCAUCAUCCUUGCCCUGUGGUCAUUGCCACAAACAAGUUCCCUAACACUCGAGGCUGCCCUGGCUCUCAUCAUUCUUCUCUCCCCAAACAAAAUGAAGAUUGCUUGAGUGGAGAGCUUUCAUCCACAGCAUCCUUAGGGUAGGAGGUGCUCUUGGAAGGUGCAUACUAGUCAAUGAAGGUUGAUCUUGGCAAAAAGUUACUAUGUGUUGACGUACAGUCAUGUUCUGUGCCCCUGGGCACAACCUUCACAAUAACUCAGCAUGGUAGACACCAUUACUUCUCUAUAUUGCAGGUCCCCAUAGUCAUGCAGUUAGCAGGUGCUGGUGUCCCAGCUUCCUGCUUCCACUUUCCAUCAUUGUUGAGAUGCCAGAAACGUCUAUCAGAGCCCUCCAAGUAUCAAAGGUAUGCUUUAGGGAAAAUGGAGUCAAUAGGGAAGAACAUACUCCACAGCCCUCUGAUCUGAACACUAGGUCUCUCUGCUUAUUUCAUUGACAUACACAUUGAUUUUUUUCAAGUUUAUUUCAAAAUUCUAUAUUGGAUUUAAUUACCAGCUUGAGUUUUAAUAGCAACUAUAUAUAUUUUAAUUAAACUUAUUUAUGUUGAAAGAAUUAUAGAUUCAUAUACAGUU